CGGCCGCUGCUGACCUCGGCCCCGGGGGAGCUGCGGCAGGGCAGGUGUCGGCUCUCAUCCCCGGGGAGCAAUUGAAACAGACGCUUACCUAAGCUGUUUCCUCCACAACCCUGCAAGAUCCGUCUGGCUCGCUUUUUGGCAUCUUCUGGAAAACUUGGACUGUCCAACAGGUUUGGAUUAUAUGUUGGACUUCAGUGACAGACUGGAACCCUGAUGUGCAAAGAUAACAAUGACCAAAAUAUCAGUAGUCACCAGGAAUAAAAAUUUCCAGACUUUCAAGGUGUGUUCCAGGAGCAGUCUGACUGGAUUGUAAUUGGCCUCUGCCAGCAGGCGGAGAUUUGGAAAAGAGAAGCUUGCAGAACAGGAGCUCUAAUAACAAACUCGGGAGCAACAAGCUCUAAUGUGCACUGGAGACAGGAAGGGCAACCUGGAUGUGGGCUUCCUGAAACCAAAAGACAUCAAUGAGUAACAACCUUCUGAAGAACACAAUGCUUUGAGCUCUCAUUGGAGAUCUGCCCCUGGCAGUCAUAGAGACAAGUUGUCAGCAAGAGAAGAUAGUGAAUGACUUGGGAGUGAUAGUACUUGGAGGCAGAACUGCAACCUCCCCCUUCAAACAGUACAUGUGAGGAAUCUACUCUGAGGACAUUCUGUCUUUCAAGGGAAAGACAUUUGUUUUUAAAAUUGAGAAAAGGAAAUUUUUCCCCUAAGAUUGUCACCUGUGGACUUUGUCUUAUGAGAAGAUUACCCAUUAAGAUUGCUAAGAACCACCACAUUUCAGAUGAUGCAGGUGAGGAUGUACCUCUUUACUGUUGUUUAUUAUAUCACAUGACUUCCCUGUGUAAUCUCCUAAAUGUUCAGACAUUCCUCAGAACAGAUACAUGUAUUUAUUACUCUAUGUGGCCUUUCAGAAGAUUUUCGUUUUUACAGUCUACAUUUAAGGUGUGUGCCACAAUCAUGCCACUUAGAAAUCUGUAAUAAAAAUGUAUUGCUUAUCUA